AAAUUUUCCUCCAGGCUGUCCUUGGAGAAUUCCACCCUCUUUCAUUCUGGGGAGAAGAAGUUAAAAUUAGGGCCAGCCCUGCGGGACUGACAUGCCAGAUGCAGGGAAGCUGUCCCCAGAAAUAAGCGAGUUCCCACCGCGGCUGGGCGGGGCGGGAGCCUCGGGUCCCAACCCAGCGGAGGGACUCCUGGAAGGCCUGCCCCUUCCAAGUGUCUGCAAGGGCUCUGGUCCCAAGCUUUAAAAUCCUGAGCGAAGGCACUGCGGGCCGACCUCUCCUCUCCCAGCCAGUCGUGGCUGGCCUUUCAAAGUGUGCAGUUGUCUCCUCCCUGUCCAGCCCCAUCGUCGCCCAGGACCAGCUGGGCCGCGGUCUGACCUGAGGCUGCUGCUCAGCGCCGGGGCGCUGGCGCUCUCCAUUCGAGCACCUUCCAGCAUACCGCUCGGCUCCGGGAGCCGCUCUGCAAAGUUGGGCAGCUCAGAGCGCAAGCUUUGCCUCUCGACUUCUCCCUCCUUGGGUCCCCGGCGCCCCCGCCUCCCACGAUCCCUUUCACUAGGAGCAGCCAGUCCCAGCGGGCUGGCAACUUGCACCCCUUCCUAGUCAUCCUCCCUGAAACGCGACCAUGCUGUUAAGGGGCGUCCUCCUGGCGUUGCAAGCCCUGCAGCUCGCCGGUGCCCUCGACCUGCCCGCUGGGUCCUGUGCCUUUGAAGAGAGCACUUGCGGCUUUGACUCCGUGUUGGCCUCUCUGCCGUGGAUUUUAAAUGAGGAAGGCCAUUACAUUUAUGUGGAUACCUCCUUUGGCAAGCAGGGGGAGAAAGCUGUGCUGCUAAGUCCUGACUUACAGGCUGAGGAAUGGAGCUGCCUCCGUUUGGUCUACCAGAUAACCACAUCUUCGGAGUCUCUGUCAGAUCCCAGCCAGCUGAACCUCUACAUGAGAUUUGAAGAUGAAAGCUUUGAUCGCUUGCUUUGGUCAGCUAAGGAACCUUCAGACAGCUGGCUCAUAGCCAGCUUGGAUUUGCAAAACAGUUCCAAGAAAUUCAAGAUUUUAAUAGAAGGUGUACUAGGACAGGGAAACACAGCCAGCAUCGCACUAUUUGAAAUCAAGAUGACAACCGGCUACUGUAUUGAAUGUGACUUUGAAGAAAAUCAUCUCUGUGGCUUUGUGAACCGCUGGAAUCCCAAUGUGAACUGGUUUGUUGGAGGAGGAAGUAUUCGGAAUGUCCACUCCAUUCUCCCACAGGAUCACACCUUCAAGAGUGAACUGGGCCACUACAUGUACGUGGACUCAGUUUAUGUGAAGCACUUCCAGGAGGUGGCACAGCUCAUCUCCCCGUUGACCACGGCCCCCAUGGCUGGCUGCCUGUCAUUUUAUUACCAGAUCCAGCAGGGGAAUGACAAUGUCUUUUCCCUUUACACUCGGGAUGUGGCUGGCCUUUACGAGGAAAUCUGGAAAGCAGACAGGCCAGGGAAUGCUGCCUGGAACCUUGCGGAGGUCGAGUUCAGUGCUCCUUACCCCAUGGAGGUUAUUUUUGAAGUUGCUUUCAAUGGUCCCAAGGGAGGUUAUGUUGCCCUGGAUGAUAUUUCAUUCUCUCCUGUUCACUGCCAGAAUCAGACAGAACUUCUGUUCAGUGCCGUGGAAGCCAGCUGCAAUUUUGAGCAAGAUCUCUGCAACUUUUACCAAGAUAAAGAAGGUCCAGGUUGGACCCGAGUGAAAGUAAAACCAAACAUGUAUCGGGCUGGAGACCACACUACAGGCUUAGGGUAUUACCUGCUAGCCAACACAAAGUUCACAUCUCAGCCUGGCUACAUUGGAAGGCUCUAUGGGCCCUCCCUACCAGGAAACUUGCAGUAUUGUCUGCGUUUUCAUUAUGCCAUCUAUGGAUUUUUAAAAAUGAGUGACACCCUAGCAGUUUACAUCUUUGAAGAGAACCAUGUGGUUCAAGAGAAGAUCUGGUCUGUGUUGGAGUCCCCAAGGGGUGUUUGGAUGCAAGCUGAAAUCACCUUUAAGAAGCCCAUGCCUACCAAGGUGGUUUUCAUGAGCCUAUGCAAAAGUUUCUGGGACUGUGGGCUUGUAGCCCUGGAUGACAUUACAAUACAAUUGGGAAGCUGCUCAUCUUCAGAGAAACUUCCACCUCCACCUGGAGAGUGUACUUUCGAGCAAGAUGAAUGUACAUUUACUCAGGAGAAAAGAAACCGGAGCAGCUGGCACAGGAGGAGGGGAGAAACUCCCACUUCCUACACAGGACCAAAGGGAGAUCACACUACUGGGGCUACUACAUGUACAUUGAGGCCUCCCAUAUGGUGUAUGGACAAAAAGCACGCCUCUUGUCCAGGCCUCUGCGAGGAGUCUCUGGAAAACACUGCUUGACCUUUUUCUACCACAUGUAUGGAGGGGGCACUGGCCUGCUGAGUGUUUAUCUGAAAAAGGAAGAAGACAGUGAAGAGUCCCUCUUAUGGAGGAGAAGAGGUGAACAGAGCAUUUCCUGGCUACGAGCACUGAUUGAAUACAGCUGUGAGAGGCAACACCAGAUAAUUUUUGAAGCCAUUCGAGGAGUAUCAAUAAGAAGUGAUAUUGCCAUUGAUGAUGUUAAAUUUCAGGCAGGACCCUGUGGAGAAAUGGAAGAUACAACUCAACAAUCAUCAGGAUAUUCUGAGGACUUAAAUGAAAUUGAGUAUUAAGAAAUGAUCUGCAUUGGAUUUACUAGACGAAAACCAUACCUCUCUUCAAUCAAAAUGAAAACAAAGCAAAUGAAUACUGGACAGUCUUAACAAUUUUAUAAGUUAUAAAAUGACUUUAGAGCACCCUCCUUCAUUACUUUUGCAAAAACAUACUGACUCAGGGCUCUUUUUUUCUUUUUGCAUAUGACAACUGUUACUAGAAAUACAGGCUACUGGUUUUGCAUAGAUCAUUCAUCUUAAUUUUGGUACCAGUUAAAAAUACAAAUGUACUAUAUUGUAGUCAUUUUAAAGUACACAAAGGGCACAAUCAAAAUGAGAUGCACUCAUUUAAAUCUGCAUUCAGUGAAUGUAUUGGGAGAAAAAUAGGUCUUGCAGGUUUCCUUUUGAAUUUUAAGUAUCAUAAAUAUUUUUAAAGUAAAUAAUACGGGGUGUCAGUAAUAUCUGCAGAAUGAAUGCAGUCUUUCAUGCUAAUGAGUUAGUCUGGAAAAAUAAAGUCUUAUUUUCUAUGUUUUAUUCAUAGAAAUGGAGUAUUAAUUUUUAAUAUUUUCACCAUAUGUGAUAACAAAGGAUCUUUCAUGAAUGUCCAAGGGUAAGUCAGUAUUAAUUAAUGCUGUAUUACAAGGCAAUGCUACCUUCUUUAUUCCCCCUUUGAACUACCUUUGAAGUCACUAUGAGCACAUGGAUAGAAAUUUAACUUUUUUUUGUAAAGCAAGCUUAAAAUGUUUAUGUAUACAUACCCAGCAACUUUUAUAAAUGUGUUAAACAAUUUUACUGAUUUUUAUAAUAAAUAUUUUGGUAAGAUUUUGAAUAAUAUGAAUUCAGGCAGAUAUACUAAACUGCUUUUAUUUACUUGUUUAGAAAAUUGUAUAUAUAUGUUUGUGUAUCCUAACAGCUGCUAUGAAAUUAUAAAAUUACCUAAUAAAAAUAAUUUGAAAAUCUU